rnacentral:rRNA from 1 species
AAGCGAACCUGCGAAGGCAAGCGGAUCUCUUAAAGCCGUUCUCAGUUCGGACUGUAGGCUGCAACUCGCCUACACGAAGCUGGAAUCGCUAGUAAUCGCGGAUCAGCACGCCGCGGUGAAUACGUUCCCGGGCCUUGUACACACCGCCCGUCACACCAUGAGAGUCUGUAACACCCAAAGCCGGUGGGAUAACCUUUAUAGGAGUCAGCCGUCUAAGGUAGGACAGAUGAUUAGGGUGAAGUCGUAACAAGGUAAC